rnacentral:rRNA from 1 species
GACGUAGGGCGCGAGCGUUGUCCGGAUUUAUUGGGCGUAAAGAGCUCGUAGGCGGCUUGUCGCGUCGACUGUGAAAACCCGCGGCUCAACCGCGGGCCUGCGUUCGAUACGGGCAGGCUAGAGUUCGGCAGGGGAGACUGGAAUUCCUGGUGUAGCGGUGAAAUGCGCAGAUAUCGGGAGGAACACCAGUGGCGAAGGCGACUACCUGGCCUGUUCUUGACGCUGAGGAGCGAAAGCGUGGGGAGCGAACAGG